CACGUAGGGUGCGAGCGUUGUCCGGAAUUAUUGGGCGUAAAGAGCUCGUAGGCGGUGUGUCGCGUCGGCCGUGAAAACUGUGGCUUAACUAUGGGCUUGCGGUCGAUACGGGCAUCACUGGAGUUCGGCAGGGGAGACUGGAAUUCCUGGUGUAGCGGUGAAAUGCGCAGAUAUCUGGAGGAACACCGGUGGCGAAGGCGGCAUCCUGGACCAAUUCUGACGCUGAGGAGCGAAAGCCAGGGGAGCAAACGGGG
rnacentral:rRNA from 1 species